rnacentral:rRNA from 1 species
GACGAACGCUGGCGGCGUGCUUAACACAUGCAAGUCGAACGGAAAGGCCCUGCUUUUGUGGGGUGCUCGAGUGGCGAACGGGUGAGUAACACGUGAGUAACCUGCCCUUGACUUUGGGAUAACUUCAGGAAACUGGGGCUAAUACCGGAUAGGAGCUCCUGCUGCAUGGUGGGGGUUGGAAAGUUUCGGCGGUUGGGGAUGGACUCGCGGCUUAUCAGCUUGUUGGUGGGGUAGUGGCUUACCAAGGCUUUGACGGGUAGCCGGCCUGAGAGGGUGACCGGCCACAUUGGGACUGAGAUACGGCCCAGACUCCUACGGGAGGCAGGAGUGGAGAAUAUUGCACAAUGGGCGGAAGCCUGAUGCAGCAACGCCGCGUGCGGGAUGACGGCCUUCGGGUUGUAAACCGCUUUCGCCUGUGACGAAGCGUGAGUGACGGUAAUGGGUAAAGAAGCACCGGCUAACUACGUG